GUUGGUUUCACCCGAAGGCAGUGCGCUAACCGCAAGGAGGCAGCUGACCACGGUGGGAUCAGCGACUGGGGUGAAGUCGUAACAAGGUWKYCGUAGGUGAAYCUGCAGAAGGAUCA
rnacentral:rRNA from 1 species